rnacentral:lncRNA from 1 species
ACGCCAAUACGACCAGUGUUGCUUCCAUAGACAAGCCAUACAUUGGGUCCAAAAUGGCUGUGAGAAUUCAGAAUCAAAAUGCAGGUCACUUGUACCAGGUCGCGGCACGCUUAGUUCAUCAAUCAAGGCUUUGUUUCUCCUGUAGAGGUCUGACUUCUUGUACAAUUCAGUAAAAUCAACUCCUAAUGCCAUUUCUUGAGAUGAGGCUGUGACUUCUAACAUCCAAGUUGCUGGAUUGUAACCUUCCACUAUUUUGCUUACUCCAGGUAUCGACUGAAAUCGUAACAAAUCUAAGCUUAGUUCUUGAUCAUAGAAACUCAGUAAAAGGAACUUAUUUUGUAUAAAGAAACUUACCUCAAAAUAUUUUAUCAAAUGGCAUGAUUGGCGGCCUAAUGGACCAACGUAUAUCUCUUGUCCUCCUCGUUUCAUAAGAAACAACUGUAAAGAUGUAUUUUUCAUAUUAGUAUCUAAUAUCUAAAGGGAAAAGCAUAAGAAAAACCAGAAAUAGAUGCAAAAGGUGUUCAAUUCACCUCGUCGAAAGCCUCAAAAAUGUCAAUGCUCGGCUGAUGAAUGGUACAAACAACGGUUCUUCCUGUAUCGACAGUGUUCCUAACAGCUCUCAUCACAAUGGCAGCAGCUCUUGCAUCUAACCCUGAAGUUGGCUCAUCCAUAAAAAUGAUAGAGGGGUUUGCCACUAGUUCAACUGCAAUCGUCAACCUUUUACGUUGCUCAGUUGACAGACCGUUGACUCCUGGCAACCCGACUAAGGCUGAUCUUAAUGGUGUAAGCUCCACAAGAUCCAUAACUUCAUCAACAAACAUCUGCAAUGAGAUAAUCAGUAAAAAAUUCUGUCAACUGCCACUUUAUUUAUAAGAUAAAUUCUCAUUAUGGAGUAAUGUAAGGGGAACUUACCAUCCUUUUUUGUUCAUCGAUGUCUUGAGGUAAACGCAGCCAAGCUGAGUAAACCAAUGACUCAAAAACUGUUACAUACGGUGAAUGGAUGUCAUUCUGUUCACAGUAUCCGGAAAUACGUGCAAAUGUUUCUUGCUUCUUGGGGUAUCCAGAAAUCUUGAUGCUCCCGUCAAUGUAACCUCCAGUUUUCCUUCCAGCCAAGACAUCCAUCAAGGUUGUUUUACCAGCACCACUAACACCCAUCAAAGCUGUGAGAACACCUGGCCUGAAAGCGCCACUUACACUCUUCAAAAGUACCAAUCUAUUGUCACUGGUACCUGACUCACUCAUUUCCUGCAUGUCAUCAGAAAAUUUAGUCACAUUUUGAUUUGAAGAAUGUUGAAGCACCAGUUUUUGAUGACUAGCAAUUUUUCGUUAAUUACCGGAGGCAUAUCAACGGAGUAUACAACUUCAUCAAAGGUGAUGGAGUGGGGAUCAAAUGGUAGAACCAUUCCCUUCUUCUUAUUCUCACUGACAGAAUCUCCUUCUUGUGUGCUAGUUAUCUGGGGUGAUGAUUCAGUAUUUUCGUUGUUCUCACUCUCGUCUGAAAUCGUAGCUUGUGGCUUAUCAAAUGCUGCAGAUACUCACUCCAUGUUAGUACAUGUCAUCUUUUUAUUUAAGGAUAUAUCGAUGAAGAAAAUCAUGGACACUCACGGUUAAGAUAAGCGAGAGCAACACUGUAGGCGAUGUUAAACAUAACUGUGAAUCCAGCAAGUGCCCCUACACCUAUCCAGUACCAAUAUGCAUCGGGGAAGAACCCUCGAGCUCUUACCACUGCAGCUCCAAGCGGCUCAGUUCCACCGGCUACAAUCUGUUUUACAAGAGAGUUGAUUCAGCAUUUAUACUUGAAGAACUUUUAUUACUUGCAAGGAGUAUAGGUAUUGAAAGUUACAUGUUUCCACUUUUGCCCAUCAAAUUCAUUCACAAGAAUUGCAUUCACAGAAUACAUCAACGGUGACGUCCAGUAUCCCCAAAUCCACCAAUCCUUCACAUCAUCUACACCAUUUUGGAGAAAAGAGAAAGUAAACAUUAGUCAUUGUACAAGACAAGAGCUAUGUAUUUCAAACGUCUAAAUCACAAACUUACUUCGCGCAAGCAUAAAACCGCCCAAUGCAAAUUGUAAAAGAAGAGCAAAUGCUCCAAAUGUGCUAGCAACUCCCAUGGUCCUUCCUACUGCUGCGAUAAAUCUGAACAACGCUGAUGCCAUCUGGUUUACUAGUAAGAGUAGCAAAAAUUGUUUGAAAAACCUGCAUAUAAGAUAGUCGAUCAAUAAUCAUGGGAGAAACCAUACUUGUGACAGUAAGCCAAUGAAUAUAUACCAUAGUCUUUCUUCACUUACCUUCCAACAUUGGGAUCAAAUCCGAUAACAUAAUACGUGAGGAACACCCACAUCCCAACUUCAGCAAAAGUUACAGGGAUUUUGAGGAUCCAUGAGGGAAUCGCGUAAGCCCAUGAAGGAUAGAAGAGAAAGUCCCUUUGCUUGUAGAAGACCGGAAGCUUGUAAAGUGUCAUAGGGAGCUCGGACAAACCAUUAAACAUAAUCAUAAUAACCACAAAAAAAAGAGCACCAGAAUAUAUGCUUCCAUCUUCUGCACUAUCCCGAGGCAUCUUAGUUCGGAAAAAUAUUGUCAUUGUCAUAAGUGCAAUUACCAGGAGCUGAUCAUAAAACAAAGAGAGGAUUAAUAAAUUGCACAUGGAUAUGAACAAAAUAAUGACAUAUAUCAAUAUAUCAAAUAGACUAAGUAGUCACCUGAAAGAACUUGAAGAGGUAAACAAAUGAGUUUCUUUGCAUUAGUAGUAGUUCUCUUUCAGUGCAAACCUUCAAGAGUUGUUUCUUCCCUAUACCAUACUUUUGAGUAGUCAAAGCAGCAGGGUGGCUUUUACUUUUGUCAAAUGUGGUUGCGAGCUCAUCGCUUACUUUUCUUCCAACAUGGAAAGACUGAUAAGCUUCAGCAAAUUCUUUUGAUGUGAUGAACCGGUAAGGCUCAUCCCUCCUUACCCAAUAUUGCUGCUGAUCCUUCUUAGACGUCACCUGCCACAAAAUCCAAAAGUUUCCAUCGUUAGAACCAACAAUGCAUUAUUGCUUCUAAUCAAAACUGAUUUAGAGAGAAGUGUUGAAACUGAUAAUAUGCAGUAACAUAUCACAUACUUCUUGCAAGAAGUCAGCGGCGCCUUUUCUCUCAGGGCAUUUAAAUCCCAUGGAUUCAAAGAAGUUGAGCACGUCCUCUCGCGGACCCUGAUAAACAAUAUACCCGUCGGAUAACAGAAUAAUAUCAUCGAAGAGGUUGUAGGUUUCGGGGGCAGGUUGCAAGAGAGAAAUCAGAGCUGUUCCCUUCAUGAUUCGAACAGAUUGCUUUAGGGAAUUCACAAUGGAGUAAGUAGUGGAACUGUCCAAUCCAGUUGAUAUUUCAUCCAUGAAAAGUGCUUUAGAGGGUCCAACAAUCAUUUCACCAGUCGUCACACGCUUCUUCUGUCCUCCUGAAAUACCCCUUAUCAUUUGAUCUCCCACCAUAGUAUCUGCACAAAUAUCCAGUCCCAGUAUCUGCAAAAUGGAAUUUACGAACAAAUUAAUAACUUAUUUAUCAAAUUCUCCGUGCUUUCAAUAGCUCUAAUGUAAGAAAAGUCAUUGGAAAAUGAAUGUUACCUUAAGAAUGUAAUCUGUAACCACUUUGGCUUCUUGUCCUUCUGUUGAUGCAGCCUACAUUUCCAUUCAACAAUAAGAAUAUUAAUUAUUCACUCUGUUUCUUAAGAAAAAGGAAAAUUGUGCUACCUGAAAUAUCUCAAAGAAUUUUUUUUAUUAUUAUAAUUUAACAUAUUACCAGUUAAGAGAAUUGAGUUUCUUUCUUACCUUCAUGAACAUGUCAAUAUCAGCAUCUGGUUUAAUAUUAGCUGCUUUCUCUCUUCUUGACAGUUCAGCCAACAUUUCUGGAAAAUAAUUCAAGAACAAUAAUUCAAAAAUCAUAAUUGAUUUAAUUUCACUAUAAAUAUCGAAAGGAUUCGACUUAUAUACACUAACAGCGCAAAGAAUUUUUACACUCUUAGUAUAAUAUAACAUGCUAUAGAAUUCUUCCUAUUUUAUUUUUCAGAUAACCACAGUCAGACCUCUCUAUAACAACAUCCCUAUAUAAUAACACUUCGCUAUAAAAGCCAUGCUUUUCCGGAAACUGAUACUGAAAGCCAAGGUGACGAGAACUAACCAUAACGAGAACCAACUCCUUGACAUCUUGCAGAGAACUCCAAAGUUUCUCUGACAGUCAUUUCUCCAAUAUGCAAAUCAUGCUGGCUAAUAUAAGCGGCAGUUCUUUGUGGCACAAACUCAUGUAAUUCAUGUCCAUUAUAUGUUACCUUUCCAGUAACCUGAUUUUCAAUCACAUUAAAAAAAACUUAGUCUUAUAUUCUUAUUUAAAAAACAAAACAACUUUUCUUUAUAAGUUGUUUUUAAUAUUUUUGGAAUUUGUAGUGAUCUUACCUUUAGAGCAGAGUCAAGUUUUCCAGCCAAAGCAAGUAACAAAGUAGUUUUUCCAGAACCAGGAGGUCCCAAAAGAAGAGUCAUUCUACAGGGCUUAACUAUGCCACUAACAUCCUUGAGAAUUGUAACUUGCCUUUUUCUUGAUGGAAGGAUAUGAAUUGAAUCCAAUAGGCCCUUUAAAACCAACAAAAGAAGAAGAAAAAAGUUAGUUUAAGAACACCUUGGCCUAAUUUGCAUAUUCUCUCCUUGUUUGUUGUUAUUUAUGUUAUUGUUAUGGUUGCCAUAAUCCACGGAUUCGAGCCAUGGAAGCAGUCAGACUGUCUACAUCACACCACUAGAAUCAUGCAUGAAUGCGGAUGCUUUGUGCAACGCACUACUUUUUAUGGUUACCAUAAUUACCAUUGAUUCAAUAGUCAUAUGGUUCUUCAAUCAAAAUACUUAUUUACCAUUUUUAAUUUGUGGCAGUAAUUUAUUAAAAAAAAUUCAAGAAUCAUACCAAUUAAUCUAUCUUUUUUCCUUUGUGGCAACAGUAAAGCAUCAAAUUCUUUAUAGAUGAUACAUACAUAGAUAUACACAUGCUUUUUUAUACAUACAUACAGAAACAAUAUAAAUCAAAUAUUUUUUGAGAUUCUUACCUCAACGAAGUUAGAAAUGAAGUUGGUAAAUGUAGGCAAAGCUCUGCUUCCUACAUAUGCAUCUGCGUCGAUAUUUAGAUGCUCAAAUCUCACUUCUAUUGAUGGAAAAUCGAUCCCAACCCUGUUUUUUUCACACAAAAAAAAAAAGAAUCAAAACUUAGCACCAAAUUAAAUAAGCAAGGAAACCCAACUCAAUUAGAACCAAUUUUUUUAGUGUAUCUCUAUAACAACAUCUCUAUAUAAUAUAUAAUAGUUAUUCACUGAAAAAGUCAAGUUUGUUUUGGAACCAAUUUUUGUAUUAUGUUAUAGUAUAUAUCCUAUAUAACAUUACUAUAACAGCAAACAGGGUUAUUAUGGAGAGAUUUGACUGUCUUUGUAGCUGUUUUUUAGCUAACCUCAUAGUAUUAAAAUCCUUUGCACGAUUGGCAUAUAGAAAUUAAACUCAAAGUGAAAUUUAGAAAAGAAAUGAUUUCACUUGCCUGUCAAUUCUAUUCUUGAGUUUUAACAAGAACUUCUCAUUAUCUUCAUCAGCAACUUUAACAAGUCUCUCAAGCAAAUUCUUUCUUUCUAAAACACCAAGAUCAUCUACAUCAACUUCAGCAGCAGCACCUUGUGAUCCAAAUAAUAUACCUUUUCUUAAUCUAUCAUAAGUUGGUAAUUUUUCAAGUGCAGCCCAUUUAAGUGCUUCUUCAUCAUCUUCAUCCCUUGCCGAACGCGAAAAUACUUCAGCACCAUUAUUUCUCCAUAUUGAAUUGCUAUUUUCUCUUAUACUUCCUCUCAUACUUCCCCUUAUACUUGCUCUUAAACUUCGGCCUCGCAAAUUACUUAAAUCUGCUGGCUCCAUCUUGAGCACUAAUUAAGCAACUCGACUUUCAAAAUAUUUUAUAAAUGAUCAAAUGAACUGAAAAUGUGAAAUUAGUGUAAUCUUCUUUAUUAGAAGAACAAAAGAAUAGAAGGAGAAGUUAAGAGUAGUUGUCUAAGGCAAAGGUAUUAUAUAGCAGCAGGAAAGAAAAGGAAGGGGCGGCUAUAGCAUUGUUUUAUUUUUUAAUUGGUCGUAUACAUGCAUAGUACUUUGGUCUUUGGAAUUAUUGCCCUAACAUUUUGACGAAAUUUAAUUUGAAUUAUUUGACGUAUACAGUAAUUGUAGAGAAAACUUCUAUAAUCACUGUUCAUAAGGAGUCAUAUGUGACCAAAUGAGAAAAAGACUUGAAAGAAACUUCGAGGGUAAUUAAUGUGUGAAUUAUUGGAAUAGGAGCUUAUAAUUUGGAGAGGCAGCAGUCAAAGCAGCCAAAGAAAAAUAGCCGCCAGCCACCAGCGUCUAGAAACAUGCCAAGUCAGCAUAGCAAAUUAAAUAUUAUUUUAUUUAUAUUAUUAAUUUUGAUUAAAAUAUUUAUCUAUAAUUAAUUUAACAGAAUUUAUAUAUGCUUUUAUUUGAUUUUAAUAACAUUGAGCGGGAGAAAAUAAAAUGUGAAUGUUGCAACAAGCUGAUUGGGCAAGGAGAAUCAACUAGUUUAGUUUUCUAACUAUUUCAGAUUUUAAGCGAGGCAAUGAAGCAGUAACUAUUCUUUUUCAACUUCAAAACUCUCCAAAAUGAAUUCUGCCCCUGUAUAUUCAGUGUAUCCAGAAUGUAUAUCGGGUGUAUACUUCUCACUCCGCCCCCUCUUUUUUUCUUCUCUCUAUCUAAUUUUUCCUCUUUUUUUUCCACCCCUUUCUUCCUAAAUUUUCUCUUCUAUUUAUAGCAUGAUAUGAGUAGGCUAGGGAAUAUGCUAACAUCAUGCAAGCGUAACUACUAACUACUCACCGUAUUGUGAGUUACUCAUAUCUCACAAAGAUUUAAGUAACGUUUUAAAAGAAGUUUAAAGUUGAUGUUACGGUUUUUUUUCAAAUAAUCAUUGUUUGAUGAUCUCAAAUUCUUAUCCCUGAGCAGCAUGUCAAAGUAAUUUCAUACUUCGGACGAAAGUUUACCUGUGCUUUUGUUUCUUGAAUAAAUUCUUUCAGACUCUGCUUUUUUACUUUGUGUUAGUGAAGAGCUCUUUAUGAAAUUUUCAUUCUUUGAGUUAAAUUAGGAAUUUUUUACUUUUUUUUAACCAAACCUGUGAGAUCACCCUAAUAUUUGCUAGUAACGACAUUAUAUUGAUCUUGUACAUUUCCAAAUUCUGGGCUUUGUAAUUCUCGCAAUACUAGUUUCUAUUUUCCUCUUUUCUUUUUCUUUUUAUGGCAUGUGGAGAAUGAUGAUGAAAUUAAGAAUUGCCAAAUGCCUUUUUAGCUUGACUCUUCAAAUAUAUCUAGAAAGAAGCUAGCUGAGCUGAGAUUUUUCCUCUAACUUUGAAGUUGCUUAAUAUAAUAAACGACGAAUAUAAGGUCCAUGAGAUUAAUAUAUCAUAUCAUGAUACUAAUCAAAGUGCAAUCAGUUGAUUAGUUGUCUUAAUUACCAAUUCUACUGUUUAAGAAUUGUACAAACACUAAAAGUCAUCAAAUUUGCAAUAUUUUUUAUCCAUUUUAAAUUUGUAAUAUUAGAAAAGGAAAAAUUACAUUUUUUAAUUAUAAUAUAUUUUCUGACGGGAAGUUAUGUUUUAGACAAUUAAUAUACAAAUUAUCUAGUAACUUUCUUCUUUGACCAAAACCUUCUGGUCCUUUUACGUAAAUAAGCAAAGUAAGAAUAACGAACUGCGAGGAAAAGUAGUAAAAACACAGAAAAGAGAUGCAGCCUUGUAAGGUUGACUUGGUUGUUGUUGUUGAAGAACUAGAGAUUUUUGAAAUUUCAUUUAUCACGCUGAAUCUUCUAUCACAACCAAAAAAAAUAUAAGGAAAAAAUGGUCAUAUUUGUUCAUAUGCUACUAUUUGAAAUUGAGAAUUUUUGUGUGAAUCGAAUCUAUCCCGGCCUUAGCAAAAAUAAAAAAAAAGCUCGUUUUUGUUUGCCUUUGAUCUCUGAUUGGGGCUCUAACGUGAAGGAUAACUCUCAUUAAUUUUAGAUCAUAGACAAAAAGUAAUAAAUUUGGACUUUUUUUCUUCAAAAUUUUUUGAUACGUGGAGUGCAUACAUUUCACAUUUGACUAUACGUGAAAUAGAUUUACAUAGUUACUGGUGUAUGGGUUAAAAUCUGACCACAAGAUGGUUGUCCUUAAAAGGAACGAUAAGUGAUCGACCAAGCCGUAGUCUUAUCCACGAGGCGUAACAGCAGCGAGCAUCUCGACAACUGCCGAGAUCGAGCUGUCAGAAGGCCUGCACGACAACACAUACGUCAUACCACCCGGGCAAGUAAGGAAGAGUAUAGUCAUGAGAUGGUCUGUUGGGUAGAGACCGUUGGAUAAAGGGAAAGGUUGAUAAUAUAUAUAUAUAUAUAUAUAUAUAUAUAUAUAUAUAUAGGAGGANNNNNNNNNNNNNNNNNNNNNNNNNNNNNNNNNNNNNNNNNNNNNNNNNNNNNNNNNNNNNNNNNNNNNNNNNNNNNNNNNNNNNNNNNNNNNNNNNNNNNNNNNNNNNNNNNNNNNNNNNNNNNNNNNNNNNNNNNNNNNNNNNNNNNNNNNNNNNNNNNNNNNNNNNNNNNNNNNNNNNNNNNNNNNNNNNNNNNNNNNNNNNNNNNNNNNNNNNNNNNNNNNNNNNNNNNNNNNNNNNNNNNNNNNNNNNNNNNNNNNNNNNNNNNNNNNNNNNNNNNNNNNNNNNNNNNNNNNNNNNNNNNNNNNNNNNNNNNNNNNNNNNNNNNNNNNNNNNNNNNNNNNNNNNNNNNNNNNNNNNNNNNNNNNNNNNNNNNNNNNNNNNNNNNNNNNNNNNNNNNNNNNNNNNNNNNNNNNNNNNNNNNNNNNNNNNNNNNNNNNNNNNNNNNNNNNNNNNNNNNNNNNNNNNNNNNNNNNNNNNNNNNNNNNNNNNNNNNNNNNNNNNNNNNNNNNNNNNNNNNNNNNNNNNNNNNNNNNNNNNNNNNNNNNNNNNNNNNNNNNNNNNNNNNNNNNNNNNNNNNNNNNNNNNNNNNNNNNNNNNNNNNNNNNNNNNNNNNNNNNNNNNNNNNNNNNNNNNNNNNNNNNNNNNNNNNNNNNNNNNNNNNNNNNNNNNNNNNNNNNNNNNNAAGGGGGAUCCCAUAAAAGAAAAAAGAGGAGCAAUGUAUCAAAGCGAGAAUAAAAGGAGAUCCCCAACAACAAAUCAACAGCCCAGAUUUUGGCUACAACUUUUUGUAAUCAUCAUUGUUGAAUCAACAAAGAUAGAUCUCUUAGUUAUCAACAACUUUCCCUCUCUUUUCCUUCUUUGCUCUCACAAAUACGGUACAAACAUAUCAAAGAUGUAAGCUUAUUAUUUACAUUUGAUGUCUGGCAAUCAUCUUAAGGAAUCUUAUAUAAACUUAACCUCCUUCGAUUGUGAUAUUCAAUAUAUUUGGAUUUAGAGCUAAUUAUGUUUGACUAAGAUUUACCUUUUAUUCUCUAUCUCAUCAUUAAUUAGUUUAACUAAAAGGUUUAACACUUUUUUGGUAAAACAAUUUGGCGCCGUCUAUGGGGAUUUCUUAACCAAAUUUUUUAGUUUCCCUUAAAUCUAGAACCACCCAAAUAUCACUACCAGGCUGUCAUGGCCUCACCAUCUCAGCAAAAACACCAACUCGGAAGAAUGGUAGGUAAGCCUUCGAGAUAACCGUACCAAUUUUGGUCAGAUCUCUACAUAAAAUAGAAGUUAUAACCAAUGUCUAUGCAAAACCCACGUCUCACCUGUAAUGAGGGGUUUGGCACGCCGCAUGCAUGUUUAAAAUAGAAUCACGGUCAUUAUGCGUUUGGCAUGACCGCAACCCCAUUUGACGUAUUCACCUUAUAAUACCGACCCGUAUUCCUACCUCUUAGUAAGGGACGAUAGCCUACUGUGUGAUCCUUCGGAACAUCGGGCAUAUCCUACCAUAUUUUCGUACCCACACACACUGGAUGAUUUAUUAUCAAAGUAUGACACGUUUCCCUUAUUGUUUGUGCAUAUCGAACGAGGUCAGAUUGGAACUAGGUCUCGAUGUCCCAACGGGCGAGGUAAGUCCAACCCACGCAAAGUGUAGACGCGAUUAAUGACGAAGCUGAACACAACUGCCAAAUCUGAAGCCGUCAUUCAAAUACAAAGUGAAGCGAGCAACCCUACAACGCCGUUCCUCCUUUCGCCGACUUGCCAGGCCAAGGUAACAGGCGAUUUCGUUUGGUUUUAACUUACCACUCUCUCUUGUUAGUUCAGAAUAGGAAAUGCACAGUAUUCUCCAAUGAAAGCAAAAGCAAACUGGGACUCACCCAAGAAACGUACAAUAUUCUCCGGUAAAAGCAAAACCAAGCACACUGGGACUCACCCAGGAAACAUCAAUAUUCUCCAGUAAAAGCAAAACCGAGCACACCGGGACUCACCCCGACGCAUGCAUAAACAAUACGGUGACGUAUGAUGUUCUCCAAAAAAAAAUAAUACAACGGGUUACGAUUUCGACCUUGCUCGAAAUAACACCCCUACAGCCAUCAACCUUCGCCAAAACGAGACAUUCAACCUCGCUUUACAAUAGGUUACAAUUUCGACCUUGCUCGAAAUAACUCCCAUACGGCCAUCGGCAUUCGCCAAGAGAGAAAUUCGACUUCGCUCGAAUUACAACGGGUUACUAUUUCGACCUUGCUCGAAAUAACACCCUUACGACCAUCGGCCUUCGCCAAGAAAGACAUUCGACUUCGCUCGAAUUACAACGGAUUAAUAUUUUGACCUUGCUCGAAAUAACAACCCUACUGCCAUCGGCCUUUUCCAAGAAAGAAAUUUGACUUUGCUCGAAUUACAACGGGUUACUAUUUCGACCUUGCUCGAAAUAACGCCCCUACGGCCAUCGGCCUUUGCCAAGAGAGAAAUUCGACUUCGCUCAAAUUACAACGGGUUACUAUUUCGACUUUGCUCGAAAUAACACCUCUACGGCCAUCGGGCUUCACCAAGAAAGAAAUUCGACUUCGCUCAAAUUACAACGGGUUACUAUUUCAACCUUGCUCGAAAUAACACCCCUACGUCCAUCGGCCUUCGCCAAGAAAGAAAUUUGACUUCGCUCGAAUUAUAACGGGUUACAAUUCCGACCUUGCUCGAGAUAACACCUUUACAGCCACAGGCCGCCGUCAAAUAAAAGACAAGUUCGAACUCAUUCAAAUAUGAAUCAGAAAUUGACUUCGCCCAAGACGACGACUCCAAGUUCGAACUCGUUCAAAUAUAUGACAGAAAUUGACUUCGCCCAAGACGGAGACUUCAAUUCAAACUUGUUCAAAUAUAAGUUAGAAAUUGACUUCGCCCAAUACAACGACUCCAAUUCGAACUCGUCCAAAUAUAAGUCAGAAAUUGACUCCGCCCAAGACGGCGACUCCAAGUUCGAACUCAUUCAAAUAUAAGUCAGAGCUUGACUUUGCCCAAGAUGGCGAGUCUCAAUUCGACCUCGUUUGAAUCAAGAUCGAUUCCGCCCAAAUUGGCAAACCAAAAGUCAAUCUCGCCCAAACUGGCAAGUCCAAAGUGACUUCAUCCGGACUCAUACAAUGAGAUCCUACCCGAUCAGCGCAAGGUCGACUUCCCAAUUAAAAUGAUGAGGGACUCAUCACAAAGAAAUCUGAAGGUCUACGCCAAAAAGAGAAAUAUAACAAAUGGGAGGGAUAGAUAAAAAAAUCAAAAUAUAUACAAACAAAGGCGAAGCAACUGUUUCAUUUAAAUACACGUGCGCAACAGUCGCACCUUACAAAAGGCUGAAACAGGCCCAAAAAAAGACGAAUAUAAACAACAAAAGAAAAAAAAACUAAGUACAAAUGUUACAUCAAAGUUUCACUCGGCGUCAUCCCCGUCGUUGUUCUCCCAAACAUCGCCAUCAUCAGAAAGGAGCCCAUCCUCAACAUCAACGCCCUCACUAGCCUCCGGUGUCGCAGGGUCGUAACCACAGGCAGUACGAGCCUCGUGUGCCUUUGUCCGAGCAUCUUCGAAAGAGGCCUCUGAAACACUCCCUACCUCCCACAAACCAUUGUAUAUAUCUCGCUAGGCCUCGGCGUGGACCCAUAACUUGUACAAGCGGCGGGGGACCGCGACAGAGGCAGAUCCAACCUAGGUCAAUAGUUGUGCCUUCUCGGCCUCGAGUGCCACGACCCGAUCUCCUAGGCUCAAAGCCUCCCGGUCAAUUUCACCAAUACGCUCCUUGAGCCGCGCCUCCCUCAGCGUGGCCGUUGCCCUCUUAGAUUACUGCUCAGAUCUGAGGACGCGGAUAGUGUCCUCUAGCACCGCCACUCUAGUCAAGGCUGACGUCCGAGCAUCUUUGGCGCUUUCCAUCUUGGCCACUUUCUUAUCCAACUCGGCCAAUUUCCCCAUCCAUUCUGCGCUCAAAGCUUCAACUCUGGUAGCAUUCUUCUCAAGUUCGGCUUGCAAAGACAACACCUUCGCCUGAAGGUCCGCGCACUCCGCGGUAACUCCCUUUCCCACCUCGAGCUCCUCAUUCUCGGCGUGAAGCAGCUCCUCAAACUCACUGCAUCUGCGGAUAGACUACAUCAGGUCCUCAUCUCUUUUCUCCAACUCCUCCCUGGUAGACUAGGUACUGGCACCCAUUCUGAGCUGCUCAUGCAUCUCACGACACCUUUUAUGGUACCGACGAUACUUCUCGGCCAUCUUUAGAAAAAUCACGGCCGCAUCUCGGCUCUACGAGAAUUCUCGACCUCUAGCAUUUAGGUAUAACAGAAAGGAGGGAGGAAAGAAGUUAAUGAUAUAAAAAAAUGAACGAAGGUCACCAAAGGAAACAAAGAGAAACUCACCCUCAGGCCCAGAGUGGCCACACCGCGUGACAACUCAGAGUCGCUGACAUCCUGAAGAGCUCCUCUCUCAACAGUGGAGCACAAAAGAUCGAAUUGCGGCACAAUGUCCACCAUAUCUUGCAGCAGGUUGAGUUCGGACGAAAUUUUGAGUAUUCGAGAAGGGCCUCCCACUUCUACUACGGUCCGAGUAAAACCCUCCUCAAACAUCCUCAUAUCAUCAGGAUCAAUGUCGAACUCAGAUUCAUAAUCGUCAACCACGACGCCCUUUCCCCUCUCAUUAGCCGAAGAGGAGGCGCGGUUCGGUUGCGAUGUUGAAGGACCAUCUGAAACAGCAAUGACGGCCUUAGAACUCUGUCUCUCCGCCACAUCAACCCCUUAUACGCUCGCAACAUGCGUCAUCUCUGCGGCCGGGUUGGCACCACAUUCGAUUUCGAUCACCGCCGUGGAAAGGACGCCCCUCGAAGAAGUUUCAACCGGGGAAACUCCUUCCAACACCACCCUCCGUCUCUUCGGUGGGGCCACCCUACUACUUGCAUGGGAGGAUUCGCCCGUAGAACGACUGCAUGAGUCAGAAUCUCUGGCUGAGUAACCUUCAAGCGCACAACUUCGGCCGUAGGUGCAGGCCGGACAGUAGAUCUUGGAGCUGGCCGGGCAGAUGCACAAUAUCCUUUCCCGUCGGCACUAUUUUGACAUUAGCAGGGAUUCCCUACUUAGCUUUGAGCACAACGAUCGCCGCCUCAUCCAUAGUGGAAGGAACGGGCUCCGGCUCACUUCCUGAAGGGCCGUAAAAAUCAGUCCUCGCCUUCCCGGGACAAGGAACUAUUUCAUCCACCGUUGGAAAUCCCUCAUCUUCCACUACAUCCACUCCCUCUUCGAGUAGGGAUGCGUCGCUUUCCGGUACCGGAGCAUCAACAGCCCUAUCGGAUUGGGAAGAAGUGCUAGUUAUUUGUCUCUUUUGAUCGAAGUAAGCAGGAACGGUGAGGGAAAAGAGAUAGUGGUCGCUUCAAAUUCUAUCGAAAGCAGCAAUAUGAAAGAGCAGAGGAUGAGGAAGUUUGUAAAGUUCUUUCUCAAGUAAAUUGAAAAACACAACAAUCAAAUAAGAGAUUCCCCCUAUUUAUAGGAACAUAAAUGUCCUGAGUGGGAAACCCAAGAGCCGCCAAUCAAAAAGCUGAAAGGCAUGAAAAACGAUACGGUGCGUGGGAAACGAGCACCAUAAUGAUACAUAUGGGUAUUCAUGGUAUCCUGAAUCGAUAUGACGAUCCAACUCUGAACUGACGUAACGGUCCAAUGAGACCCCUAAAGCGUCACGUCUCCACCUCGCCUUAAGGACCUCAUUCGCGCAUAAUGUUCAGAUUUCUCCUAACUUUUGAAUCAACAGAAUCUGCCCAUCGAGCUCACCAAAGGACGACCCCGACGGGCGGAGAGACUAACUGUAUGGGUCAAAAUCUGACAACAAGAUGGUUGUCCUUAAAAGGAACGAUAAGGGGUCGACCAAGCCGUAGUCUUACCCACGAGGCGUAAUAGCGGCGAGCAUAUCAAAGAUGUAAGAGGAGCAAUGUAUCAAAGCGAGAACAAGAGGAGAUCCCAACAACAAAUCAACAGCCUAGAUUUUGGCUACAACGUUUUGUAAUCAUCAUUGUUGAAUCAACAAAAAUAAAUCUCUUAGUUAUCAACAACUUUUCCUUUCUUUUCCUUCUUUGCUCUCACAAAUAUAGUACAAACAUGUCAAAGAUGUAAGCUUAUUAUUUACAUUUGAUGUAUGUCAAUCAUUUUAAGGAAUCUUAUAUAAACUUAGCCUCCUUCGAUUGUGAUGUUCAAUAUAUUUGGAUUUGGAGUUAAUUAUAUUAGGCUAAAAUUUACUUUUCAUCUUAUAUAUCAUCAUUAAUUAGUUUAAUUAAAAGAUUUAAUACUUUUUGGCAAGGAUAAAUACGUGAAUAUUUGCUAAUGACAAGAACAUGAAUAUAUACCUGAGCAAUUUUGAAUAAUAGCAUAAAUAAUUUUGGACCUUUUUCAAAGAAAAAAAUUCAAAAGGUUUUCCACUUGAUUAGGGGUUUCAAUGAUUAGGUUCCUCCGGAUAUUUUAUAAUAUAUAUACCAUGCCAAUUUUUCGGUUAUUCUAUUUUAUAUAACAAAAAUUAAACUUUUUAAAACCAUCCUAAUCAUUUUGGUUUCACUUAGGUAUUGGUAAGGUUCAGUUAAUUUUUGGUAAUUUAUUAAAAUGUCAUGUAAGAGUCACUAAUAGAAGCUAGUUAGAACGCGAUAAAAUACGUACUUACUUUGGACUUUGGCAAAACUCUCUAGACAUUUUUAUAGUUUAAAAGAUGAACCAAGGAAAUAUGAGAUAUCCAGAAUAGAGAUUUAUCCCACUAUUCUACUACAACAUAAGAAAAUUUGAGCAAAGACAAAAGAAAUAUACAUCACACGAGUUGAAAUAUAUUAACCACGAUUGGACUCAAAAAUAGAGUCUAUUAGAAGAUUAAGUAUACAAUAUGAAAAAUCCAAAUUAUACGAGAGUAAAAAGAUUCAAUGCCUUAUGGUUGUUACACAAGAUCGUUAGAAUACUUGUGUCUUGCUACUCAAGAUUAUAGCUAGAACUGAUUUAGCUUCAAUAAAAGUAGCAUCAUAGGUUGGUAUUUUUACCUAUCUAUACUAUAUUAUUGGGAAAAUUUCAUAUAAGAACAACUGGGCUUCCUACUUUUCAAUUUUAUAGCCCAUAUUUUAAUUUACAACCAACUAGCUAUUCCAAAUAUAAUAGGCUAAGAUUCAAUAUCCAACUCCAAUAGAUUCUAGAAAUUACUAUUUAAUUUUUAAAAAGAUUGCUCAAGCCUUUAAGUUAAUUUUCGAAUCAGUAACUGUGACUUAAAUAUUAGUUCAACAAAUCAAAUCUAUUUGGGUGGUGAAAAUUAGAUUUUUAACAAGUUUAAAUAUGUGGGUUUAAAUUCCUAAUUUAAUUUUGUGAGAAAUUUGGAGCGAGUGUUAUUUAGACUUGUUAGAAAUAGUAUAAAGAGGUAGUAUAUAAAAUUUGAAGUCAUUUAAUGAAGAUUUGGACUGGUUUUGAACAAGAAUUGUAACUGAAAAAUCGUGGAAGAAGUUUGUCUACAAACGAUUGUAUAAAUGUGUAUAAAAGUGCAUAAUAUUGUAUAAGAUGUAUUUAUACAUUCAUAUACACUAUUAUACAAGAUUAUACAUAAUUAUACGAAAAACUGACUUCGUCUUCUUCAUUGAUCUUUUCUGAAAUUUAACUCAAAUCUUACUCAAAUCUACUCCAAAUCACUUUAAAUUUAAAUUUUGAACUCCUUUUAAUAUUUUUAAUCAAUUGGAACAACAUCCAAUUCAAAUAACUAACUCAAAAAAUCCUAUUUUCGAACGCAAAGCUUUGAAUGGUUUUCAAUGGUGGACUUCUACUCUUCAAUUUUCUUACAUUGCAACCAGGUGACACAAAGGGAGAAGCAGUAAUGGCGGACGACCCCUUGAAGCAUAUGUAGAAGAUGUGAGAAGAAGAGAGAGUGAAAGCAAUGGUUGUGAGAAUACAGAUUUAACUCCAUGGCUUUUAGAAGCAAUGGUUGUAAGAACACAGAUUUUAAAUUUGCUAGUGCUUUCAAAAUAUGUACAAUAUGGGCUAGGUCGGGUAAAACUUAAAAAUAUGGGCUAUUUUAUGUUAUGGUGUGAAGUCACGUGUAUUUUCUUGUAAUUCUUUCAACUUUAUUUACCUUCCCUAAUCAAGUUUUAACUUAAUUACAUGGUCAUAUACAACUUACCAAUUAUACACAAAUUAGUUUUAAAUGAGAAUCCCUUUAUAUGAGGAAUUGAAUAAGGAAUAUCAAUUAUUUUCCCAUAUACAUGCUCUCUCUCUCUCUCUUCUUCUCUCUCUCUCUCUCUCUCUCUCUCUCUCUCUCUCUCUCUCUCUCCCCUUCUCUAUUCUUUCUCCAAUUUUUCUUCCAUUGAUGUUCUCUACUUUUUAUCCUUUCAUGUUGUAUAUAGUUUUAAUGGAAGAAGAAGAAGAAGAACUAACAUAAAAUAUACUUACAAAAUUAUAUUAAAAUUGUAUUUAAGUUGUAUUCUGUGGUAGUUAUCUAUUAUUUUAUUUGAAUGUGGUAUAAAAGUUGAAAAAUAGUUGUAUAAUAUAUGAAUCAUUGUAUAAAUUUGUAUUUAAAUUAUAAAUACUUUCUUUUUACAUAGCUAAUAUGUAUCAAAUUUGUAUUAAAAGAGGAAAUUUUGAUUGAAAUUUCAGAGAAUAAGAAGAACACACUCAUACAAAAAUAUAUAAAUCAUAUACAAAAUACAUACAAAAGACAUAUUAUAUACUAUUUGUAUAAAAAUUAUAUUUAAAUUGUUUGAUGUUGUAGUUGUAUUUAACUAAGUAAAAAUAAUAUAUGAAAGUUUUAGAUACGUUAUAAAUAAUUGUGUACUAUAUAAUUAGUUUUAUAAAAUUUAUUUUUAGUUUAUAUGUUGUAGAUAUAUCAAAUUUGCAUCAAAUUUGAAUAUUCCGGCAUUUAAGUUGUCUGGUUUAGGUAUUGUCCAUCGUCAAUGUCUCUAUUGUUUUGGUUUAGUGCUGAGGGAUAAACACAAAUUACUGGUCAAUGGUCGCUGAAUCCGUAGCAUCACUUCUUGAUAGAUGCCACUCUACAUGAUUAUUUAUUGUAUACAAAUAUAAUGGAAUUAUGAAUAGAAUGGGUGCUAAAUCCAAAUAAUGGAGUUACAAAUAUAAUUUAUUGAACAACUUUUGAAGUAAUGAUGGAGUUAUUUGGCGAGUUAAUAAUUUGUGUUAGGUUUGCAUUCUAGUUUAGGGGCUUCUGGUAUAUACGUUCUUUAUCUUCCACAAUGUCUGCCCCCCCUACCCUACCCUAUUGGGAGAGACGUGAUAUAUAUCUUCACAAGAAAUGACUGUGGAGAACGCAUAUGAAACUGUACAAAUCAUCUCCAACCAACUCUUAAAGCAAUGAGAUCAUAAAAUUAAUUUUAAAAUGGGCGUUGAAUCCAAAUUGUCGGCGUCACGCCUGGUUAGAUUACUUAAUUUAUGCAUUAACUCUCUCAAACUAUUGUAUAUGGAGAGAGGUGGCAAAGAAAAAAGAAAAAGAGGGUAAGUGAAUCCCCAGCACCAAUAAUGAAUUUGAAUAUGGAGAGAGACGAUAGAGAAUAAGGAAAGAGGAGGGGAGAGAAAAAAAAAAAGGAAAAGGUUAUAAAUGAAUCCCCUAAUUUAAGGCACUAAUAAAUAUAUAAAUUGUAAGCAAGCCUUGUUUAGGGUGGGUAAUAUAUACAAUUAGGACAAUUUUGGUAAAUAAGUUUCAAAUAUUGUAUAGGAAGGAAAAAAUCUCUUUGCAUAAUCGCAAGGCCCAAGAAAAAAAUAAUGUUUUGUUAUUUUUAACUUAAUAUAUAAAAUACAUUUUUCUUAUAUAAAAUUAUUCGGGACGGUUCCGUAUUUUUUCGAUUUAUUUUUGAAAUAAAAAUCUAUCCUAAUUAUCGAUACGGUUAUAAUUUUAUAUAAAAUCUAUGAUUUUAUUAAAAGAAACCUAAUUAUCACUUCGAUACAUGUCAGUUCGAUCUAUUUCGAUUUUUAAAAAUCCAUUGACGCCCUAUCCUUGAAGCCAAACGCUCAUUAACAUAGGCAACGUCAAUAAUAAACUUUGAUUGACAAUUAAGCGACCUUCUCGAAUGGCCUACUAAUCGUAGAAUUGUCUAUGUUGGAAUAGUUAUUGCACAACAAUUUUACAUUGGAUGGAAGUUGGACUAAUUAUACAUUGCAGAAAAACUUUUGAGCAAAAUUUCUCUUACAAACGCUCCCAAAUCUUGAAUUUCGGCAAAUACUCUUUGAAAUCAUACCCCAAAAUCAAGUCUGUAACAAAUUUAGCCAUCUUGGUAAGCAAAAUUAGUUUAGCCAUCUAAGUUACUUUUAUGCAAUACACUUAGCGAUUGAGAAAAAAUUACCCGUCCACUUUCAAUGUUUACGUGCAUCAAAUCAAAUAAUUUAACUCUAACAACUGCACAAACCAAAGUUAGAAUACAAAUUUAUUCAUAGCUAACUCAUAAAAAUUUAUAUGCAAUAUACACAAGUCUUUGCAUUUAUUUGUUUGACGCAAACAUUACGUACAAAUGAAUAUUUUUCGUUUACCCGUCAAAAUCCACUAGUUCUUUAAUAUUUUUAACAGCCAUGAUGUGAAAAUGACUCAAAGUUGAGUUUUCAAACUCUUGAACAGCAAUCGUGCAUGUGCCUAUUAUAUAAACCCUUAAACUAUUGUAAUUUUCUUUUGAUGUCCGACACAUUUAUCUAUAUUUAGUCUUAUUUUAAUGCCCUUCACUAGUCUUAUAAACUUUAUUUGUCAAAAUGUUACAACUAUAAGAAUCUACCAUUUUUCAUUAGCUCAAUAUAUAUAAACAGAAGUUUUCUCGUCUUCCUUUGCUUCUUCCUAAAGAAUCAAGCAAAAUUACUUUUUUCCUAUUUUGCAUAUAUAAUAUGGAUGUUAGUUUGAUACAUGGCACUAAGAGUACUUUGAAGGCUCACAAAGUUCUUUCAUUGAAGAAGCUUCACCACUUUCCAUCGAAGAAACUGCAUAAUCAAAGUGCAAAAGGUGAAUAUCUUUUUUUACCAUUUUCAAAUUAUUGUGCUUAGGCGAAAUUAUAAUAUAUCCUUUUUAGUUUACGAUCUCCGGCUGAUAUUCAGAUGCAAAUACAGAAUUUAGAGAUAGUGAGUUAAAAAUGAGUAUGAUUUGAUAAUAUGAGCAUUUUAAGAAAUGUAUUUCGUAUAUUUAUACAUAGUUCAACCUGAAGCAACGUGUUUUGUUAAACUCAUAGAUCACGGGUUCUAGCCGUGAAAUAUGAUUGCAUCAGAAUAGGUUGUCUACAUCACAUCUCCUUGGAGUACAGCCUUUCCCCGGAUCCUGCGUAAACACAAGAUACUGCAUCAUAUCGGGCUGCCCUUUGCCUUAGUUAAACCCAUAGAACUGGCCCUACAUCAGUAUCUUGUGCUAUUAGUCUUAGAAUUCUUGUUUUUGUUCUCUACAGAAGCAGUAUUUCAGUAAAAACUAAGAAGCCACAUUCUUAUGCAAACUGAAAGUUCGUUGUCUCUUAAUCCAAUAUUCCAAUCAGUCAAGAUAGCAACAUUAACAUGGAUCCGUUCCUGUAUGUAAGAAUCAAAUUUCCCAAUAAUCCUUACACCAUAUAUUCCAGAUGAAAUCCAGGAUGUUUAUAUUUUCGAACGUGUUCAUUUUUUCACUUUAUCUAUAUAUGUUUGAAACAAUUAGUAUUCUUAAACAACUCAAAAAACAUAUUGUAUUCCUAAUAUAAUUAAGCUCUAGUCCAAGAUUAGUGAUCAGCUUUAUAUGUUUCCCUUCUCAACCACAAAUUUCAUGUUCAGAAUGCGGAUCCAGGAUUUGAAAUUUAUGGUACAAUCACGCGCAUCAUGAAUAUUGAUUGGACUGGUAAGAUUCGCGCAUACAAAACAACAUAUGUGCUAGCUUGUCUUUCUUGGCCUUUUCAUUUCCAGUAUAAAAGCAGAACAUCAAGCCAUGGCUCACAUAGUUGCCAAUCCUCUUCGAAUUCAAAAAUUGUAACAAGUUUUACAUGUUUUUUUUAUUUUUUUUACUAAGCCUCUGUUAUUUAGUGGAUACACAAUUUGUUAAUCUGAAUUGUUUUUAUCAUAAUCUUGAUUGUUAAAGAUUAUUGAACCUUGUUACUCUUUAAAAGUAUUGUCCCUAUUAUCAAUACUCAUUCUUUAGCUUGUGUUAAAUCAACUAUCUUUGCUGAAAAAAUAAAACUAUUGGGAGAAGGUAAAGACAAAAUGAAGCCAACCAUGGAACAAAACUGCUGCUAUAUUAACAAAUAAAGUUUGGAUUUCCAAUGAAUAUUACAACAACAUACACCUAGUAUUCAAAAGUUGAAAAGAAAAGACUUUCUCAAGUAGUAACCUAUACAUACUAAUUUUGUAACCAAUGCUUCCUCAAAGUUCUUCAGUCGAUUAAACUCACUUAUCUUCUCUGGAAAUUGAACGCCUUGAUGGCAAAGGCAAAUGUAAAGGCAAACAUAAAGACAUAUGCAGUGAGCACAGCUGCAACAACUCCAAGAAAAUCAUGCUUAAAGCCAAAGUAACGUCUCAAGAAUUGUUCCACAGUUUCAUUAUCAGAUAGUUUCGUUUGGAUGUCUCCGAAUUGUGAUGCAACCAAACCAUACAAGGUCCAUGCAACAGGGUUAGCCCAGUAGUACCAUCUCCACCAUACAGGCAUACGCUGUAGUAAACAAAACAAAAAAUGUCAUUUUUUCGAGCUAGAGAUCCAUUUUGCAUUUGUAUCUUAUAACUAGGCUAUAAGAGUUUGAGGAUCUUACAGGUCGUGGAAUGAUGAAUCCCGAGAAGAGAUUCCAUACACCAUAGAAGAAGGCAGCAACAAUUGAAGCCACGUUUUGAUUUGGUGUGACAGCCACACCCAUCAUACCGUAGAAUGUAAAGUACAAAAGGGUGAAAAACAUGAUGAACAAGUACCAAAAGAACUUGCCAACAUCCCAUUCGAAUCCAAUCAUAGCAUAGACGAUGAUACCAUAAAACACAGAUUGUACAAAUAUGUAAGGGAUUUCAAUGGAAACCUGCAAAUAUAGGAAGUUUUCAUGAAUACUAGGAACUGAAUUCAAAUCUGAAGUUGGUAUAUUUACCAGAAAAUAGAACUUGUUUAUUCACCUGUCCAAAGGCAUAGGGGAUGGCAGAGUACAUUCCAGCAGCUCUUUCUCUGUAAAAUACUGUACGCUCAAUGGCUACAACUGGUUGCACUGAUGAUGCAUUUUGUACACCAAGGAAGAGAACAGCAGCAUACAUUGAUCCCAUGGCGUUUAAAAGAUCUUGGCUCUUGCUCCUACAGCAAAUAAAUUCCAGUUUAGUAUUAAGGAUUUUAAGUAGUAAUCUACUUUCUAUAAUUGUUUAGUUUUCAUGAUUCUGUGCUUACACUUUAGUACCAAGAUCCCAGAACAUUGUCCCGAAGAUUAGUGCUAUGAAUGUCGUGAAGAUGAAUCUGACUGCGGUGUAAGCUGGAUUACGCCAGUAUGACCAGUGUUGCUUCCAUAGGCAAGCCACACAUUGCGUCCAGAAUGAUUGUGAGUAUUGAGUUUCAAAAUGCAAGUCCUUUGAACCAGGGCGAGGGACGCCUAAUUCACUAAUCAAUGCUUUGUUCCUCCUGUACAGGUCUGAGUUCUUGUAUACCUCGGUGAAAUCAAUGCCUAACAUCAUUUCUUGAGCUGAGGCUGUGACUUCUAACAUCCAAGUUGCUGGGUUGUAACCCUCCUUGAUUUUUGCUACCCCAGGAUUUGACUGUAUUCAAG